rnacentral:rRNA from 1 species
UAGGGAAUCUUCGGCAAUGGACGAAAGUCUGACCGAGCAACGCCGCGUGAGUGAAGAAGGUUUUCGGAUCGUAAAACUCUGUUGUUAGAGAAGAACAAGGACGUUAGUAACUGAACGUCCCCUGACGGUAUCUAACCAGAAAGCCACGGCUAACUACGUGCCAGCAGCCGCGGUAAUACGUAGGUGGCAAGCGUUGUCCGGAUUUAUUGGGCGUAAAGCGAGCGCAGGCGGUUUCUUAAGUCUGAUGUGAAAGCCCCCGGCUCAACCGGGGAGGGUCAUUGGAAACUGGGAGACGUGAGUGCAGAAGAGGAGAGUGGAAUUCCAUGUGUAGCGGUGAAAUGCGUAGAUAUAUGGAGGAACACCAGUGGCGAAGGCGGCUCUCUGGUCUGUAACUGACGCUGAGGCUCGAAAGCGUGGGGAGCAAACA